rnacentral:rRNA from 1 species
AUUGAACGCUGGCGGCAGGCCUAACACAUGCAAGUCGAGCGGAUGAAGGGAGCUUGCUCCUGGAUUCAGCGGCGGACGGGUGAGUAAUGCCUAGGAAUCUGCCUGGUAGUGGGGGAUAACGUCCGGAAACGGGCGCUAAUACCGCAUACGUCCUGAGGGAGAAAGUGGGGGAUCUUCGGACCUCACGCUAUCAGAUGAGCCUAGGUCGGAUUAGCUAGUUGGUGGGGUAAAGGCCUACCAAGGCGACGAUCCGUAACUGGUCUGAGAGGAUGAUCAGUCACACUGGAACUGAGACACGGUCCAGGCUCCUACGGGAGGCAGCAGUGGGGAAUAUUGGACCAUGGGCGAAAGCCUGAUCCAGCCAUGCCGCGUGUGUGAAGAAGGUCUUCGGAUUGUAAAGCACUUUAAGUUGGGAGGAAGGGCAGUAAGUUAAUACCUUGCUGUUUUGACGUUACCAACAGAAUAAGCACCGGCUAACUUCGUG